CAUGGCUCAGGACGAACGCUGGCGGCGUGCCUAAUACAUGCAAGUAGAACGCUGAAGAGAGGAGCUUGCUCUUCUUGGAUGAGUUGCGAACGGGUGAGUAACGCGUAGGUAACCUGCCUGGUAGCGGGGGAUAACUAUUGGAAACGAUAGCUAAUACCGCAUAAAAUUGAUUAUUGCAUGAUAAUUAAUUGAAAGAUGCAAUUGCAUCACUACCAGAUGGACCUGCGUUGUAUUAGCUAGUUGGUGAGGUAACGGCUCACCAAGGCGACGAUACAUAGCCGACCUGAGAGGGUGAUCGGCCACACUGGGACUGAGACACGGCCCAGACUCCUACGG
rnacentral:rRNA from 1 species